rnacentral:rRNA from 1 species
UACGGAGGGUGCAAGCGUUAAUCGGAAUUACUGGGCGUAAAGCGCACGCAGGUGGCUGAGUCAGUCGAUUGUGAAAGCCCUGGGCUUAACCUGGGAAUUGCAGUCGAUACUACUCAGCUAGAGUAUGGGAGAGGGUAGUGGAAUUCCCGGUGUAGCGGUGAAAUGCGUAGAUAUCGGGAGGAACAUCAGUGGCGAAGGCGGCUACCUGGCCCAAUACUGACACUCAGGUGCAACAGCGUGGGGAGCAAACAGG